CUUCGGUGAAGAUACGAUGACGAGUCGGAGGAGGACCGUCCUGCUUCUGUGGGUGGCUGGUUCAGAUCCACGUUCUGUGGCCCGGUGCCAGCCCCCCAGAGCGGGCUGUCCUCGCCGUAUGAAGACGCUGAGGCAUUUGUCUGAGAAGG
ensembl:snoRNA SNORD15 Small nucleolar RNA SNORD15